UGGGGAAUUUUGGACAAUGGGCGCAAGCCUGAUCCAGCAAUGCCGCGUGCAGGAUGAAGGCCUUCGGGUUGUAAACUGCUUUUGUACGGAACGAAAAGCCUCUCUCUAAUACAGGGGGGUGAUGACGGUACCGUAAGAAUAAGCACCGGCUAACUACGUGCCAGCAGCCGCGGUAAUACGUAGGGUGCAAGCGUUAAUCGGAAUUACUGGGCGUAAAGCGUGCGCAGGCGGUUUUGUAAGACAGUGGUGAAAUCCCCGGGCUCAACCUGGGAACUGCCAUUGUGACUGCAAGGCUGGAGUGCGGCAGAGGGGGAUGGAAUUCCGCGUGUAGCAGUGAAAUGCGUAGAUAUGCGGAGGAACACCGAUGGCGAAGGCAAUCCCCUGGGCCUGCACUGACGCUCAUGCACGAAAGCGUGGGGAGCAAACAGGAUUAGAUACCCUGGUAGUCCACGCCCUAAAACGAUGUCAACUGGUUGUUGGGGAUUUAUUUCUUCAGUAACGAAGCU
rnacentral:rRNA from 1 species